rnacentral:rRNA from 1 species
GAGUUUGAUCCUGGCUCAGGACGAACGCUGGCGGCGUGCUUAACACAUGCAAGUCUACGAGAAAGUUUCUUUCGGGAAGCAAGUAAAGUGGCGCACGGGUGAGUAACACGUAAGUAAUCUACCUUUAGGUUUGGAAUAACUCCGAGAAAUCAGGGCUAAUGCCAAAUGAUACAGUAAUAUCGCAUGGUAUUACUGUUAAAGUCUAUAUGGUGCCUAAAGACGAGCUUGCGUCUGAUUAGCUUGUUGGUAGGGUAACGGCUUACCAAGGCAACGAUCAGUAGCUGGUCUGAGAGGAUGAUCAGCCACACUGGAACUGAGACACGGUCCAGACUCCUACGGGAGGCAGCAGUGAGGAAUAUUGGGCAAUGGGCGAAAGCCUGACCCAGCAACGCCGCGUGGAGGAUGAAUGUCGUAAGAUUGUAAACUCCUGUUAGAGGGGAAGAAUAAUCCCGAUCGACUCGGGACAUGACUGUACCCUCAGAGAAAGCUCCGGCUAACUAC